rnacentral:rRNA from 1 species
UACGGAGGAUGCGAGCGUUAUCCGGAUUUAUUGGGUUUAAAGGGUGCGUAGGCGGGCUUUUAAGUCAGCGGUAAAAAUUCGGGGCUCAACCCCGUCCGGCCGUUGAAACUGGGGGCCUUGAGUGGGCGAGAAGUGCGCGGAAUGCGUGGUGUAGCGGUGAAAUGCAUAGAUAUCACGCAGAACUCCGAUUGCGAAGGCAGCGCACCGGCGCCCUACUGACGCUCAGGCACGAAAGCGUGGGUAUCGAACAGG